AUGAAAAUCAAACUUGCCCCAAGGAUGCCCCUAAUCAGCAGGAAGCAGCUUAACUUGAUAUGGACACCUCCUUUCUCCUCCAACCUUCUUCCUCUCUUACCUAGUGUUGGGGGAUUGGAAGGGAUAAGGGUGGAGCAAGGCGUUAGAAAAAGGAAACGCAUAAAGGGAACCCUUGGCCAUCAGUGGAGCCCACAGCAAUCAAAAAGUGACGAAGACAGAAGAAGCUGGCUUACAGGUCUCAAGGGUCCAAGUCAGAGCUGCACAGGGGAAGAGAAAGGAGUUUGCCCCACUAUUUACAACAGGCCCCAUCUGGGGCCCUGAGCCAGCCUGGCUUGUGGAGUCCAUGGUUGUGGAGACAGACUCCAGGAAGGCCCUCAACCUCCUGCCAGUGUGAAUGUAGUCCAGCUUGCAAGAGAGAAGGAACUCCUGUAAUGUCACAGGUCACUCAACAUUGGGGUUGUGACCUUAGACCUGUGCAGGGAGGAGACAUCCUAUAAAGCCUGUCUGUGAACCCAGAGAGUAAAGACUCUCCUCUCAGCCGCCUAUGAAAUCAAGAGAUUCAGUUAACAGGACAUGUAGGAAGCUGCUGUUUGCCCAAAAUUUCGCCUUUUACUGUAAAAUUUUUUAAAAAAUAUAUCAGUAUGAAGAGUACACUUCAAAGUAAAAAAGUGACUCCACACUUAUGCCAGGGACAUCCAUGUCUGGCGCUCUGUGUGUCAUGUGACCUUUCCAUGCAUGUCACGUGAUCUUGCCAUGUGUGUAUCACAUGACCUUGCCAUGCUGGUCCAUGUUCUCACACAGCACCCUGACACACAAAGAACUUGUAGCAUUGGGAUGCUGUAGGGGAGCUGCUGAUACUAAGGUCUUGUUGCCCAGUUGGCUCUUGAUCUGUCAGUAAAGAAGCCAUUGGCCAAUUGCUGGGCAGGAGGAAUAGGAGGGACUUCCUGGUCCCUGGAGAAAAAGAGACAGACACAAGGGAGGAGAGUUUGCCAUGCUUUGGAGAGAGAAAAGCCAAGCAGCCACGUGAGGUCUCAGGAGGAGUGGUGGCCUGUGGCAGCUCCUAUAGGUGGGUGGUCAGGGGUGCUUAGCAAGGACUAGAUGUAUCUGAGCCACUAAAGUUUAGGGCAAGUGGAAAGGUGCAGAGAUAAAAUAUUGAUAAGGGCAUGCUUUUCCAGGAGGGAGAUAGUACACCCAGUAAUUGUGUCCAAAGGCAAGUUGAAAUUGAACAACUAUGUGUGUAUGAGUCUUUUAUCCAUGAAUUCAAGGGAAACUGGGUGGGAGCUGGUAGCAUGGCCCAUUCCUGGAGCACAGGCAGGGUAGC
ensembl:lncRNA